AAGUCGUAACAAGGUUUCCGUAGGUGAACCUGCGGAAGGAUCAUUAACAUACAUAAAAAUCCAAACUCACAAUAAUUUUUGUUCUUACUACACUGCUGCUGUUUCGAUAUUUCCUGUGAAUAACAGUAAAUUCAACUCAGUAGCAGUGCCAUUUUCAAGUAUGAACCUACAAUUAUUUAUCAAAUAUUAUUAUCAAAUAAUAAUUAAAAAUCAAUACAAAAAUUUUCAACGAUGGAUGUCUUGGUUCCCAUACCGAUGAAGAACGCAGC
rnacentral:misc_RNA from 1 species